rnacentral:rRNA from 1 species
UACCGCGAAACUGCGAAUGGCUCAUUAUAUAAGUUAUCGUUUAUUUGAUAGUACCUUACUACUUGGAUAACCGUGGUAAUUCUAGAGCUAAUACAUGCUAAAAAUCCCGACUUCGGAAGGGAUGUAUUUAUUAGAUUAAAAACCAAUGCCCUUCGGGGCUCUCUGGUGAUUCAUGAUAACUUCUCGAAUCGCAUGGCCUUGUGCCGGCGAUGGUUCAUUCAAAUUUCUUCCCUAUCAACUUUCGAUGUUUGGGUAUUGGCCAAACAUGGUUGCAACGGGUAACGGAGGGUUAGGGCUCGACCCCGGAGAAGGAGCCUGAGAAACGGCUACUACAUCCAAGGAAGGCAGCAGGCGCGCAAAUUACCCAAUCCCGACACGGGGAGGUAGUGACAAUAAAUACUGAUACAGGGCUCAUUUGGGUCUUGUAAUUGGAAUGAGUACAAUUUAAAUCCCUUAACGAGGAACAAUU